GACUUAGUGAUCCGGUGGUUCCGCAUGGAAGGGCCAUCGCUCAACGGAUAAAAGCUACCCCGGGGAUAACAGGCUUAUCUCCCCCAAGAGUUCACAUCGACGGGGAGGUUUGGCACCUCGAUGUCGGCUCAUCGCAUCCUGGGGCUGUAGUCGGUCCCAAGGGUUGGGCUGUUCGCCCAUUAAAGCGGUACGCGAGCUGGGUUCAGAACGUCGUGAGACAGUUCGGUCCCUAUCCGUCGUGGGCGUAGGAAAUUUGAGAGGAGCUGUCCUUAGUACGAGAGGACCGGGAUGGACAUACCUCUGGUGUACCAGUUGUCGUGCCAACGGCAUAGCUGGGUAGCUAUGUAUGGACGGGAUAAGUGCUGAAAGCAUCUAAGCAUGAAGCCCCCCUCGAGAUGAGAUUUCCCAACUUCGGUUAUAAGAUCCCUCAAAGAUGAUGAGGUGAAUAGGUUCGAGGUGGAAGCGUAGCGAUACGUGGAGCUGACGAAUACUAAUCGAUCGAAGACUUAAUCAA
rnacentral:rRNA from 1 species